ACUGCGUUGUGCGGCGGAGCCUGUUCACACGUUCAAGCUGCAUUCGUAGCUUUCACCUCCUAAACCGAAGCGAUCGAUGCUGUCACCCUGUUUCAAUAGGUAAGUCCGGGGCAGUGGAGAUGACGGCGCUAGGGCGCUUUGACUACUCGGAGCUCCACCAGGGUGACUCCGAGUACGUCGGCAGCCUUUACUUUUGCCUUUUCAACGCAGGGGAGUAGCGGGGGCAUCUUGCAGGAGGUCCUUUUAGGAGGCUCACCGUCGAGGAAUCGAAGAUGAAUUUCGCUAAGAGUAACUGGGAAGAGUGAUCGGCGCUAAGAGGCGGCUGCAGAAAGUUCAGGAUUCACAGGGCAAGCCAGGGCGCUGUCUACUCGGAAGUAAACGCCACUCUGGCGGAGGGAGGCUUGCUCCCAGCUUUCUUAUCAGCACCUCCCCACCCCACUCCCGGCAAAAUUCCAGAGUCACUCCACAUUUGAAAGAUAAGUCAUGCAAAAUACUGCAAGCUACAAGAAUUCAUGUAGUAAUUAAGAUUUAAUUUUGUAUAAGCUUGUUGAAUUAUCAAGGUUGAAAAUUUUCUAGUCCAUCAGGCUUAUGAAGUCAAUUAAGAAUACAUUUUUUCCAUUAUAGCUAUCUGCUUUCUAAUUUUUAAUUAAUUUAUAUUGUUUUCACUGUAUGUUCUAAUGCAUAAUUGUUAUAUGCAUUUUAUGAUGUUUUUAUGAAUAGCAACAAAUAUAGUUAUUGAAAUAUAUACAUUUAUAAUUAAAUUACACUGUAAUACUAUAUUGAGAUAAAGUACCGCACCAUAUAAAUGAUUCUUUAUACAACUACAACACUGGAACACCUUUAAAAUUCACAUGAUACAAAUAAAAUACCUUUUGUUUCUUUAACAGAUGACAGCCAUCUUGGACUGGAGCAUAUUUCAGUGAUAUAAUAGUUACUCAUGAGUGGAGAGCAUUUUCCUGCCCCCUCUUACUGUUACAAGAUUGACACUGUACAGCACAUUUCUUCAGUGCCUUGCGAUUUUCUUUAAGCCACCCUUUUUAUUAUUCUUAGAACCAAAAGGACUGAUUCUUCUUCACUAUAUAACAUUUACAAGGCAAACAUACAGUACUUGGCUUUUACCUUGACGAAUUCAAUGCAAGCUCCCAUUUCUCAUGAAAAAUACCUCGGUUUCAUGUAGCAGGUAGGAAGUCCAUUUUUCCAUAAUUAAAAGGGAAUCAAAACAUCAAGAAACAGAAAGUUUGCUAAAUAAUAAUGGAUACUUACAGAAUUUUGGGGCUGCUGGGUUUCUUUUAAUUGGGAGCUAACCCUCCCAGUGUAAUUUACCUGAGGGAAAAUACAAUUCCUGAGGUAAUGAUUUUACCAAGUUUCACCCAAAGCUUCUAGUCCAGGCAAAUUCCAUCUGCCUUCUUGCACCUGCAUUAUCCUUUGCAUGCAGCAGUAUGCUUUGGUAUUGCAUGAUAUUAUGUAGAUCAAUAGGCUAGCAUAAUCCCCAGCACUAGCACAGGAGUUUCAGAGAGCAAGUCAAUAAGGUGGGGGUGGUACAAAAGAGAUGUGUGUUGGCAAAAGCAGAUUCCUUGGUCUCAGCAAGUGCUGCACCACAAUGGGAUGGAUCUACUGCAAUUUCUUAUUGUUUCUCCAACUCUUUAGAGAGAAUUAGUUUUUCACAGAAACUAAUAACUUAGAAAGGAUAAUGAACAAAGAUCUUCAUUGUAUUAUUGGGAAAUGCAGAACUAGGCAACCUAUUCAGACAAGCACAUCCACAGCUUUCCUGAAAAAUCCAAGCUAUAUUCUGUUAAGUAGUACAGUAAUAAGUAUGUUUGGGGAAAUUCAAAUUCAAGAUAUUGAGGAUAUUAUACAUUUUGCUUAAGACAACCCAGAGCUUUUUCAGCAAAAUGUUUCCCUGACACUUGGACAAGAGAUGGUAAAGUGUGACAUCAAAUCGUGUCAUAUGUUUAGAUGCUUUGCCAUUUCAAUUAUACAUAUUUGAAACUUCAUUUUUAUGUCAUUUUAAUCUGAUAUUUUUGAAACUUGUAUAUUAAGCACCUGUAUUAGGCAUUCUUCCUCUGCCACCAAAGGCAAUUGAAAAAUAGGUUAUGGUUUUUAAGAGAUGCUCUGCCCUAAAAUUUAAUUCGACAUGAGACAACAUGAACAAUGUAAUAUUAUAUAUGAGUUCUGAAAGCUAUUCUUCUUUAAUUUUCCUAAAAAUAUGUGCUAAAGAAAAAGUUUAAUAGUUCACAUUUUAAAAAUUGAGAUGGGUAAGAAUCAAAUGAGACAAAUAAAACAGUAAUGAAAAGUGAGGAAAGAAUGUGCAUUUAUUUAAAUACAUCAUAAUACACACACCCCGGUCCAUGUUUCAGACCUUGUUUUAGUUAGUUAUGGUCAUGUUAUAUUGUAUUUGUCUUGCAGCUCAUUUCCCCCCACUUCUACUCCUAGAUGGAAAUUCUUCAGUUAAGCUAUCUAAAAUGUACAUAAACACUUAUUAUUUCUAUUAUUUGUAUGAAUGUAAUUCUUCUUUUAAAGGCUAAAAUGAAAGCUGGAAGGUUUCCUUUUAAAAAUACAUUUCAUUGAAAAUGAAUUUUAGUGCUUGAAUAAAUUCUGCUAAGAGGAAUUUGAACUACAUGAAAAUAUUUGUUUAGGUCUUUAGAUUAAAAUGGAAAAUAAACUUCAGUUGUAAAAUGUUUAGAAUAACAUGCAGUAAAGCCACCCCAAACUGGAAACUAUUUGUUACAUUUGUUUUCUAAAGCAUUUUUUUUAAAGAAAAGAAAAAGAAAACUGUCUUCUAAUGAACGAUAGUAAUAGAAGCAACAUUACAGGUUCAAGGACCUGGUUUUAUUAUAUGCAGUACAAUCCUAUAUAUGUUGACUCAAACAUAUGCCCCACUAAAUUAAAUGAAAGUUACUCAUAGGGAAGUAUGUACUUUAUAGAACUGAAGCCUUAAUGAUCCGCGUAACUAAGCAAAUAUGCAUUUUACCAACUGCAUUUUAAAGCAGCUUUCCACAAAUCAGAUAACUAAAAAAGAAGUUAUGGGAUUAUUUUACUCUUUAAUUAUAUUACGGUCCUAUGAAAAGAAAUUAAAGCCUAUUCAAAACUGACAAAAUAGGUGAAAAAUAUAUAAUUUUUUUGCUUAUUUUUUCUCUAAACAUUGAGAAAUCAUUGUAGGCCAGUUUAUGAUUAAGGCAAACGUGGUUUAAACAACAGAGAUAGUUAUGCUAAUGCUUAAAUAUUCCUUUUUCAAUUAUACUGUAAUAGAAUUUAAACAUACUUCAUUUAAACUGGAUUGUACUGUAACCUUUGUUCAGAUCAGAAUCCAUGGGAUUUCCUUUACCAAAAUUAAUCAGGGUAAGAUUUUAGGUUUUAUCUUUUUUGUGUUAAAUCUUGAGUUUGAUUUUUUGUCACCUCUCUUUCUCGUUAAGGUAUUAAAAUUAUUCAGAUAGAUUAAGCCUAGUGAAACUACAGUUUGAAAUUAGCAUAGUUAAGAGAACCAAUCCAUUUAUAAAGUUCAUUAAUUUCAAUAUAUAUGCAGUCAAAUACAAUCUGUUUUAUUGAUAUUGAGAGAUCCAUAUCUCAGGAAUAUAUGCACUAGCAUCAAUGAGACUAUUUAUACCACCAGAGCCAAAAGGGUGACUUAAUUUAUUUACCGGGUAUCUAAUCAACAUUUGUUAGCAUUACAUAGUUUAGUCCAUUUAUAGCGCUCCAUUCCAAUUUACUUAAUGAGAGGCUAAAACUGGAUUCAGUUAUAUUAGUGUAGCUGCAUGGUCACAAACACAGAUUGCUAUUUUAAAGUAGAACUCAAUGAGCAACAACUUACCCCUCUCUUUAUCUCUUUUCCAAUGUCUAUUCAAAACAUACACCUAAAUUUCUUGGAUACCUUAAUGAAAAUAAAUCAAGGGCCUUCCACUUUUUAAUGAUUUUCUAAACAGCCUUUAAAUUAACAUUUAACAAUUAGUCAAUCAAAUACAUAACUGCAUUAAGUUUCCAUCUGAUUUUACAAGAACUGAACCAAUUUUAUUUAAGCCCAUAGCAUAGUCUCAAGAGAAGACACAUUUAAGAAGAGUUGCUUCUGGUAUUUUAAUAUUAGUAAAUGGUUGUAUUUAUAUUGACUUGGUAUGCAUGUGCAGUAAACCCAAACAUAUGAAGAAUAAUAUUGAUUUCUUGUCUAAUCAGCUAGGCAUGGUAAUUAAAAGACCUGGCUUAUCUUGUAAUUACAGUAUAUUCAAAUAUUAUUACCCAUGAUUAGAAAAUGAGCCUAUUAUUAUCUUGAUAACUGUAUAUUUUUGUACUCUUGUGAACCUUUGUCUAUGUGGCCUGCCACAAAUAUUGUUAACACAUUUAUUUCAGAAGUUAAACAUCAAGCUAAUUUUU